UACAGAGGUCUCAACCGUUGUUCGGAUUCAUUGGGCGUAAAGGGCGCGUAGGCGGCUGUUCAAGUCGGGGGUGAAAUCCCGUGGCUCAACCACGGAAUGGCCUUCGAUACUGGACGGCUCGAGACCGGAAGAGGUGAGUGGAACUGCGAGUGUAGAGGUGAAAUUCGUAGAUAUUCGCAAGAACACCAGUGGCGAAGGCGGCUCACUGGUCCGGUUCUGACGCUGAGGCGCGAAAGCGUGGGGAGCAAACAGG
rnacentral:rRNA from 1 species